rnacentral:tRNA from 1 species
GUCUAUGUAGUUUAAGAAAAAUGGUAUGUUGCAAACAUAUAGAUGUUUAUCCAUGGACU